AUUGAACGCUGGCGGCAGGCCUAACACAUGCAAGUCGAGCGAGCGGCGGACUGGUGAGUAAUGUCUGGGAAACUGCCUUCUGGAGGGGGAUAACUACUGGAAACGGUAGCUAAUACCGCAUACCAUCAGAUGUGCCCAGAUGGGAUUAGCUAGUAGGUGGGGUAAUGGCUCACCUAGGCGACGAUCCCUAUCUGGUCUGAGAGGAUGACCAGUCACACUGGAACUGAGACACGGUCCAGGAUCCUACGGGAGGCAGCAGGGGGGAAUAUUGCACAAUGGGCGCAAGCCUGAUGCAGCCAUGCCGCGUGUGUGAAGAAGGCCUUCGGGUUGUAAAGCACUUGCAGCGGGGAGGCGUUACCCGCAGAAGAAGCACCGGCGAACUCCGUGCCAGCAGCCGCGGUAAUAC
rnacentral:rRNA from 1 species